rnacentral:rRNA from 1 species
AUUGAACGCUGGCGGCAGGCUUAACACAUGCAAGUCGAGCGGAGAUGAGGUGCUUGCACCUUAUCUUAGCGGCGGACGGGUGAGUAAUGCUUAGGAAUCUGCCUAUUAGUGGGGGACAACAUUCCGAAAGGAAUGCUAAUACCGCAUACGUCCUACGGGAGAAAGCAGGGGAUCUUCGGACCUGGCGCUAAUAGAGGAGCCUAAGUCGGAUUAGCUAGUGUGUGGGGUAAAGGCCUACCAAGGCGACGAUCUGUAGCGGGUCUGAGAGGAUGAUCCGCCACACUGGGACUGAGACACGGCCCAGACUCCUACGGGAGGCAGCAGUGGGGAAUAUUGGACAAUGGGGGAAACCCUAAUCCAGCCAUGCCGCGUGUGUGAAGAAGGCCUUAUGGUUGUAAAGCACUUUAAGCGAGGAGGAGGCUACUGAGACUAAUACUCUUGGAUAGUGGACGUUACUCGCAGAAUAAGCACCGGCUAACUCUGUGCCAGCAGCCGCGGUAACAC